rnacentral:rRNA from 1 species
AUACGGAGGGGGCGAGCGUUGUCCGGAAUGAUUGGGCGUAAAGGGCGCGUAGGCGGCCAUUUAAGUCUGGAGUGAAAGUCCUGUUUUCAAGAUGGGAAUUGCUUUGGAUACUGGGUGGCUUGAGUGCAGGAGAGGUUAUCGGAAUUCCCGGUGUAGCGGUGAAAUGCGUAGAGAUCGGGAGGAACACCAGUGGCGAAGGCGGGUAACUGGACUGCAACUGACGCUGAGGCGCGAAAGUGUGGGGAGCAAACAGGAUUAGAUACCCUGGUAGUCCACACUGUAAACGAUGAAUGCUAGGUGUAAGGGGUAUCGACCCCUUUUGUGCCGGAGUUAACACAAUAAGCAUUCCGCCUGGGGAGUACGGCCGCAAGGUUGAAACUCAAAGGAAUUGACGGGG